rnacentral:rRNA from 1 species
UACGUAGGGGGCAAGCGUUGUUCGGAAUUACUGGGCGUAAAGGGCGCGUAGGCGGCACAGCAAGUCGGGAGUGAAAGCCCGGGGCUCAACCCCGGAAUGGCUUUCGAAACUGCUGAGCUAGAGUACAGAAGGGGCAACCGGAAUUCCCAGUGUAGAGGUGAAAUUCGUAGAUAUUCGCAAGAACACCAGUGGCGAAGGCGGCUCACUGGCCCGGUACUGACGCUGAGGUGCGAAAGCGUGGGGAGCAAACAGG